rnacentral:lncRNA from 1 species
ACUUUUUGGUAUCCUUUUAAUGAUACGUGUACAAGAUAGAUUCUCCAGACUGGCCUGUGUGUACAGAUGGAUGUGGUGAAGGUCAAGCUGACUGUGCUGUUUGCAGAUAGGUUUGUGUCCUAUGUGUUUUGCCACUUUGAUUUGCAUUUCUAGCAUCUUGGUGGCUUUUUUUUUUUUUUUUUGCUUUGUGUUUUGAAAAGAAGCAGUGACUGUAGUGUGUUUUGGGAAUCCGGGAGAAUGGUCCUUGUAACCGAGAGAGGAUUGCCUGCCACCGAGUGGAGCCACACGUCACGCUGUGCUGCAGCAGCGCGCUCCGGGUGCUGGCAGCGGGGCCGCGAGCUCUCUGUGAGGAGAGGUUGAGCCUGCUCCCUGCCAGCCAGCACCAGUUCUGGCAGGUUCCAGAUGGUUCCACAGCACCUGGCGCUGGGUACAGCUGAGCCAAUCAGCGGAGCUGUGAUGCCUCUGAGGAGCACAUUUGAGUGAGGGCAGAAAAUGCUGGAAAACGCUGGGAGGAGGGGUUUUAAAAAUAAAAAAUAAUUUUUAAAAAAUGCAGAGAGAACACCACGGUCAGGUCAAGGAGGUGCGCUGUGAAGCAGCAGGUGCCCACUGCAGCCCCACACGGGAGCAGGUGAACGUUCCUGACAGGGAUUGCUGCUGAGGGGCAGAGCCCGUGCUGUGAGUGGGAAGAGCUGGGGCAGCGUCCUGCUGAGCUGUGGGCGGGAGCGGGGCCCCGGCUGGGUGAGCCCACCUCGUGGCCAGAGUCAACGUCUCUUGGUGUUGGAAGGCGCUGCUUUACCGGUAGUUGUGGCUGCAGAAUUUUGACUCCAGUAGAACAGAAAGCCCCUCACAUGCUUUGAACAGCAAGUCAACAACAAAUCUAUGGUGAAAGUUACAGUACUUCAAAGGACAUAUAAUCUGCUGUGCUUUUCAAAAGCCCAAAAUAGGUACAAUGUCAGCAUAAAAGCAGCUACUGGGGAGAUCAAAAUUGUGAAGGAUCAAAUAUUGG